GAUGAACGCUGGCGGCGUGCCUAAUACAUGCAAGUCGAGCGAACAGACGAGGAGCUUGCUCCUCUGACGUUAGCGGCGGACGGGUGAGUAACACGUGGAUAACCUACCUAUAAGACUGGGAUAACUUCGGGAAACCGGAGCUAAUACCGGAUAAUAUAUUGAACCGCAUGGUUCAAUAGUGAAAGACGGUUUUGCUGUCACUUAUAGAUGGAUCCGCGCCGCAUUAGCUAGUUGGUAAGGUAACGGCUUACCAAGGCGACGAUGCGUAGCCGACCUGAGAGAGUGAUCGGCCACACUGGAACUGAGACACGGUCCAGACUACUACGGGAGGCAGCAGUAGGGAAUCUUCCGCGAUGGGCGAAAGCCUGACGGUGCAACGCCGAGUGAGUGAUGAAGGUCUUCGGAUCGUAAAACUCUGUUAUUAGGGAAGAACAAAUGUGUAAGUAACUAUGCACGUCUUGACGGUACCUAAUCAGAAAGCCACGGCUAACUACGUG
rnacentral:rRNA from 1 species